GUAGUGCGGUCCACACGCGCUUUCUUUGUGCCCGGCUCAUGAGAAGUGUUGUACUCUCGCCGCUCCCGCAUCGGCUCACAGUGCACGGAAGAAUGUGUUGAUAGUUGUGCUAUCGCGUACUGUAGUUCACCGCAAUUCAACACUACGUUGGACGGACUGUUGGUGCAGUCGAUGCGGCGUGAACGGACACGAAGGAGCGCUCGCCUCAGAAGGGAUGUCACAAUUUCCUGAGACGGAGGCAUCUCUGCACCACAAAGGAGACUGCGGCACUAUGCAGCCUGAACAGCACGACAAAGCAUCUGAUCUGCCUGCUUUGACAAGAUGUGGCUGGGCCUGCAGAAAGAGUGUAAGCACACUACUGUGUUGCUGAUCAGUGCUGGUGCUGAUCUCUACGUCUGAGUUGGCCUCACAACGUCCAGGCGCCACUGUGCUUUGCUUCAUUGACAAGGUGUGGCUGGGCCUGCAGAAAAGCUGUAAGCAGACUGCAGUGUUGCUGAUCAGUGCUGAUCUCCACGUCCGAGUUGGUCCCACAAUAUCCAGGCACCACGGUGCUUUCACAAGGUUCACAAUCGAAAUGGGUUAUUUAUUUGUGCUAGUAAGUGGAUGUGGGUAAACCAAGCCAAAACGGACAGCACGUUUGCCUGGGAGAUUGCCCGAUGCUUGUGGCAGGCACAGGAAUUAAUCCACAGGAGUGUUACGAGCAAAAGUAUGUAUGCGAAAGCUAAAGGAAGGUGGCGAGGCCAAGCCAGCGUUGACACCACAAAAUCUUGGUGCAUAUCUAAGUAAGUAGACCCUGUCCUGCUAGCU
rnacentral:lncRNA from 1 species